rfam:Octopus bimaculoides Scaffold126375_contig_4, whole genome shotgun sequence.
GGUCUUAUGGUGUAAUGGUUAGCAUUCUGAACUUUGAAUCCAGCGAUAUGAGUUCAAAUCUCUGUAAGACUU